UUGACCUCAAAUCAGGUAGGACUACCCGCUGAACUUAAGCAUAUCAAUAAGCGGAGGAAAAGAAACUAACAAGGAUUCCCCUAGUAACUGCGAGUGAAGCGGGAAGAGCUCAAAUUUGAAAUCUGGCAGUUGUCAGCUGUCCGAGUUGUAAUCUAGAGAAGUGU
rnacentral:rRNA from 1 species